rnacentral:lncRNA from 1 species
UCGAAGCUCUUCCCCUAUCGCAAGGGAUUUCUUUGAAGUCUAUGAUCCAAGAUCUGAGAAGAGAAGUUCAUCACAUAACGAAGAAAUCAAAGAAGAUGGAUGACGAACUUCACAGGCUAAGGAAGAGCCAUUCGGAAGCCAUUAUGGAGGUUACUCGCCUUCGGAACCUCCACAAAAAGGAUUUCAUGGACUACAGUCGGAAGAAGGCCAAC